CUGAAAGUGCAAGUUGAACACUAUCCCGACUAAGAAACGCAGCAAAAUGUUCCUGCAGCCCUGCAAAGAUCAAAAUAGACUCCAUUCCCAAAUGUAAUGUACAAGUUACGUAACAUUAAAGUGGCUCCUUCGUAAAAUCUUCUUUCAAAGUGGCUUGUGGGCUCACGGAAAUGACAACGACAUUCUUUUGCAUAUUUUUUUUAUUAUAUAAUGAACAACUGCACACAAUUAACAUGCUACAUUUUCUCCACAUUGUAUGGUAACUUUCUUUCGUUCAUGAUCCAACAGGAAUAUUCUGUCACAUUUACAGACAGGCUGCUGAACACCUAAAACAUUAGUGUAAUUCAGUAAAAAUGUAAUAUAUUCAGAAGUAUUCAAAUGUGCCUCUCUGUAUUGCAGCGGAGCAGCUGCCACAUGCUGGCCCUGGAGUCAGGCCCCGUCUGUCACCUGGUCCAUGUGAACCCCCAGUCCCAGAUCCUCCUGUCAUUAAAGAAGAACCAACUCCUGCCCGUCAGGCUCCUGUACACGAACCAAUGGGCACCGGGUUAGCAGCUCUCGCUAAAGCUGGCGUCACAGAACACCUGAAGUGCAGUGAACUGAUGUAGCUGUGGCUUCUACUUCCUUUUGACCAGGACGUUCAUACACUGACCUCAAGACAUUCAGCAUGUGGAAGACGUAUCCCCACACAGUGAGCCACUGCUUUACAAUGCAAGAGGCUUUGUCUCAUCUUUAUAAAAGGUGUUCAGUGUUGGGACAAAACUGCCACUGGACGUGUAUGUCCAGCAUGUCCAAGCUUGGACGGUAAUCAAAAGGUCACAGCCACAUAAGUUUAAUUCUAGAUUUUACGUUUUAUUUGGAAAAAAAUGUAAAAAAAGAAAAAAAAAG